rnacentral:tRNA from 1 species
GAUUUAGUUAAAUUUAUUAUAACAUUAAUUUGUCAAAUUAAAAUAAUUUUAUUUUAAAAUAAUCU